rnacentral:rRNA from 1 species
AGUGAACGCUGGCGGUAGGCCUAACACAUGCAAGUCGAACGGCAGCACAGUAAGAGCUUGCUCUUACGGGUGGCGAGUGGCGGACGGGUGAGGAAUACAUCGGAAUCUACUUUUUCGUGGGGGAUAACGUAGGGAAACUUACGCUAAUACCGCAUACGACCUACGGGUGAAAGCAGGGGAUCUUCGGACCUUGCGCGAAUGAACGCGCCGAUGUCGGAUUAGCUAGUUGGCGGGGUAAAGGCCCACCCAGGCGGCGAUCCGCAGCUGGUCUGAGUGGAUGGUCGGCCGCAUUAGAACGGGAACACGCACCUUACUCCUACGGGACGCAGCAGUGUGGAAUAUUAGACAAUAGUCGCAAACCUGAUCCAGCCAGAGCGCGUGGGUGAUGAAGACCUUCGGGUUGUGAAGACGUUUUGUUGGGAAAGAAAAGCAGCAGGUUGUUACCCCGCUGUUCUGACGGUACCCAAUAAAUAAGCACCGGCUAACUACGUG